AUCAGUUGGCCCCUCACACGCUCAUCCGAGGCAACAAACAGUUGCGAGGACUUUCUCAAUGGCUGAAUCCGCUCAAGGUAGAAAGCCACAGCCUGUCAAGCAUGUGGAGGUGGUGUUCCACACUGGAUGCGUGAAGCUUGGGGCAGAGGACUGGUAGAAAAAUGUCCUGACCCAUGUGGUCUGACGCAUCGGACACCAACUCCAGCGACGGGACCCCUUGGAGCAUGUUGUUCGGGUGGACCACCAUCACAGGAAGAGCUUUCCCAUCAAACGGGAGAUCCUGCAUGGAAGUUUGCACCUCGCUGGAGAGCCCGGAGAGCAGGAGCUCAUGGACACCGUGGAGGCCAUUGAAUGUGAAGCCGUGUCCGCAACAUCCAAGACAGCCUGCAGGGAAGCCCGAGCUCCUGUUGCCCCUUCCUCCACCAGCACCCUAAACUCCUCCUAUCACACUCCUGGAGGGAUACCUCAAAUUUAGGCAGGGAGCCGCACAGUUUAAAUUCGGAGUGACCCAAGAGGGCCUGAUGGU